UACAAGGUGAACAAAUUUCAGAAAACAUCAUGAAAUUGGAAGGUAAAUUAAACCUAGCUCAUUGCCAGGCCAUGUUCGUAGCACUGCAAGGACUAGUUUGCUAUAAUGAGAUAUGGGUGGAGGAUCACAAGCUGACUCAAAAAUAGGAAUCUAAAGUGCAUCAGUUUCAAUUAGCCCAAGAUUUAAAGCAUUCUCUGAUUGGUUACUGAAUGUACCAUAUUUAACAACCAUUUCGAGGCCAUCAAAAUCACUACAUUCGACGUCAAUGUUAUCCCCUUAAUUAAGAUAAUUUUUAACUUUUAUCUACUUCAUCAUCUGCACAAUCUAAACCCUAGCUCGGUUGUCGAUGUUUUAGAAAAGAAAAUAGGUGAUAACAUGAAUACUCCUUUGUCCUUUUCACAUUGUCGUGCAUUGGGAGGAUGAUCUUUCUUACUAUGAUUGAUUUAACAUUUGCUUGUUAAAA
rnacentral:lncRNA from 1 species